UACAGAGGGCCCGAGCGUUGUUCGGAUUCAUUGGGCGUAAAGGGUGCGUAGGUGGCGCUGUAAGUGGGGUGUGAAAUCCCGGGGCUUAACUCCGGAACUGCAUUCCAUACUGCGGUGCUUGAGGACUGGAGAGGAGACUGGAAUUUACGGUGUAGCAGUGAAAUGCGUAGAGAUCGUAAGGAAGACCAGUGGCGAAGGCGGGUCUCUGGACAGUUCCUGACACUGAGGCACGAAGGCCAGGGGAGCAAACGGG
rnacentral:rRNA from 1 species